UACGGAGGAUGCAAGCGUUAUCCGGAAUUAUUGGGCGUAAAGAGUCCGUAGGUGGCGAUUCAAGUCUGCUGUUAAAGACCAGAGCUUAACUCGGGAAAAGCGGUGGAAACUGAAAAGCUAGAGUUCGGGAGGGGUAGAGGGAAUUCCCAGUGUAGCGGUGAAAUGCGUAGAGAUUGGGAAGAACACCAGUGGCGAAGGCGCUCUACUGGACCGAAACUGACACUGAGGGAGGAAAGCUCGGGGAGCGAAAGGG
rnacentral:rRNA from 1 species